UACGUAGGGAGCAAGCGUUGUCCGGAAUCAUUGGGCGUAAAGCGCGCGUAGGUGGCCUCAUAAGUCCGCUGUGAAAGUCAAAGGCUCAACCUUUGAAAGCCGGUGGAUACUGUGAGGCUAGAGUACGGAAGAGGCGAGUGGAAUUCCUGGUGUAGCGGUGGAAUGCGCAGAUAUCGGGAGGAACACCAAUGGCGAAGGCAGCUCGCUGGGACGGUACUGACGCUGAGACGCGAAAGCGUGGGGAGCAAACAGG
rnacentral:rRNA from 1 species